GAUGAACGCUGGCGGCGUGCCUAAUACAUGCAAGUCGAGCGAACAGAUAAGGAGCUUGCUCCUUUGAAGUUAGCGGCGGACGGGUGAGUAACACGUGGGUAACCUACCUAUAAGACUGGGAUAACUUCGGGAAACCGGAGCUAAUGCCGGAUAACAUUUAGAACCGCAUGGUUCUAAAGUGAAAGAUGGUUUUGCUAUCACUUAUAGAUGGACCCGCGCCGUAUUAGCUAGUUGGUAAGGUAACGGCUUACCAAGGCGACGAUACGUAGCCGACCUGAGAGGGUGAUCGGCCACACUGGAACUGAGCCACGGUCCAGACUCCUACGGGAGGCAGCAGGAGGGAAUCUUCCGCAAUGGGCGAAAGCCUGACGGAGCAACGCCGCGUGAGUGAUGAAGGGUUUCGGAUCGUAAAACUCUGUUAUUAGGGAAGAACAAAUGUGUAAGUAACUGUGCACAUCUUGACGGUACCUAAUCAGAAAGCCACGGCUAACUACGUG
rnacentral:rRNA from 1 species